rnacentral:lncRNA from 1 species
CAAAGUUGCAUAACAAAUUUCAUGAUCCAUAUGUGAAAACUCCAUAGCAUCCAUACAUCCAAAAUUCCAUAGCAUCCAUAUAUACAUAUAGUUCCAUAGCAUCCAUACAUACAUAGCUCCAUAGCAACAACGAUACUUUGCGGGCAUUAGUAAGUAGUAUUUGGCACUAAAACAAAUGCCUUCAUGUCCAUAUCGUAGUCCAAAGAGCAUCAGUGUGGCAAUGGGUGGGUUCAUCCUCCUGGUUGUAAUCACCGUCGACGUCCUCGUCCUCCCGUCAUCGUCCUACUACAAUGUAAAUAAAUAGCAACACCAGAAAAUCACAAAGUAAUGACAUUUUUUGCAAGGUAC